AGAUCGCCUCCAUCACACACCAUCCUCCCUACACCUCACAACCAACAGCCCUCUUAUAACAAAUACUCAAUGGAGGGAGCCAUCGGCGGCCAUCUCGCUGUUCAAUCAUCACUCCCAGAAAAUAAGAAGAGAAAAACGGAUGGUUCAUCGCCAUCUUCUAAUCCUUCUCCUUGUGUUGUCCUCAUCCGUAUGCCUAUCUUUGACUGGGACUGGAAGGAAAGGCGCAACCUUGAUAGGUGGCAUACCAUGAAGAUUCCUGCGGACGCCGUCGACGGUACAAUAGGGUCGAUCUCUGAAGUUUGGGCACAAUGGUGUCUAGAUGUGAAAUCUACCUUUGCAUUGCUGAUCCUUCCCGAGACCUAGGUCGGCAUUUGAUCAUUCCCGAGAUCUAGGUCGGCAUUUGACUCUUUUCUAACUGUUGGACUCUUGGUAACAUCACGAAUUCUGGUGAAAGCCCUAUAAUACAAGAGUUGGUUCUGGUCCUUUCCCUACGGA